CUUGACCCUAUAAGAGGUCCAGCCUGCCCGGUGACUCUGUUCAACGGCUGCGGUAUUCUAACCGUACAAAGGUAGCGUAAUCACUUGUUUUCUAAAUAAAGACCUGUAUGAAAGGCACCACGAGAGCUAAACUGUCUCCUUUUUCCAAUCAGUAAACCUAAUCUCCCUGUGAAAAAGCAGGAAUUGAAAUAUAAGACGAGAAGACCCUGUGGAGCUUAAAACAUUCUUCACUUGCCAUUUUAUCACAUCACCCCCGGUUCAUCACUCAAUGGCACUCUGAUCCAAUGUUUUUGGUUGGGGUGACCACGGAGAAAAACCCAUCCUCCGUAAUGAAAGGAAUUCCCUAAGCUAUAAAAUACAAUUUUAAGCAUCAAAAAAUUGACAUCACUGACCCAAUAAAUUGAUCAAUGAAC
rnacentral:rRNA from 1 species